UCACCUCCGCAGGCUGCAGGCCCCCAGGCUUGGCUGGGGGAGUCUCUCUUCAAAAUGCUCACCUCAAGCACGGCUAGGAGC
rnacentral:pre_miRNA from 1 species